rnacentral:lncRNA from 1 species
CAAAGGUGUACUUAAAGUUGAAACAAAGAGACGCUAGCUGCCGAUGUUCCCGACCUGCUAGUCUGGGAUGUGUGAUAACCCGUCUAAACUCAGUGUUGGAUGUUUUGUUACAGCCAUGGAAAUCCUGAUUAACACUCCUCUCACACAUCUCACUGGUUACACACAACAGGGUCACAAGGGGG